rnacentral:rRNA from 1 species
GCCUACGGGGCGCAGCAGUGGGGGAUAUUGCACAAUGGGGGGAACCCUGAUGCAGCGACGCCGCGGGGGUGAAGAAGCGCCUCGGCGCGUAAAGCCCUGUCAGCAGGGAAGAAAAUGACGGUACCUGAAGAAGAAGCCCCGGCUAACUACGUGCCAGCAGCCGCGGUAAUACGUAGGGGGCAAGCGUUAUCCGGAUUUACUGGGUGUAAAGGGGGCGCAGACGGCGAUGCAAGCCAGGAGGGAAAGCCCGGGGCCCAACCCCGGGACUGCUCUUGGAACUGCGUGGGUGGAGUGCAGGAGGGGCG